rnacentral:rRNA from 1 species
GAUGAACGUUGGCGGCAUGGAUUAGGCAUGCAAGUCGAGCGAGAAGUGUAGCAAUACACGGAAAGCGGCGGAAGGGAGAGUAAUACGUGGGAAUCUGCCCUUAGACCUGGGAUAGCAGCGGGAAACUGCUGGUAAUACCAGAUAAUGUCUAUGGACCAAAGGUGUGAUUCCGUCUAGGGAUGAGCCCACGUCCUAUUAGCUAGUUGGUAGGGUAAUGGCCUACCAAGGCGAUGAUGGGUAGCGGGUGUGAGAGCAUGACCCGCCUCACUGGGACUGAGACACUGCCCAGAAACCUACGGGUGGCUGCAGUCGAGAAUCUUCGGCAAUGGGCGCAAGCCUGACCGAGCGAUGCCGCGUGCGGGAUGAAGGCCUUCGGGUUGUAAACCGCUGUCGAGGGGGAGCAACUUCCAUAGAGUUAUCUUUAUGGAUUGAGUGAUCCCUGGAGGAAGGACGGGCUAAGUUCGUGCCAGCCGCCGCUGUAAUAC